UACGUAGGGUGCAAGCGUUAAUCGGAAUUACUGGGCGUAAAGCGUGCGCAGGCGGUUCGCUAAGACAGAUGUGAAAUCCCCGGGCUUAACCUGGGAACUGCAUUUGUGACUGGCGGGCUGGAGUACGGCAGAGGGGGAUGGAAUUCCGCGUGUAGCAGUGAAAUGCGUAGAUAUGCGGAGGAACACCGAUGGCGAAGGCAAUCCCCUGGGCCUGUACUGACGCUCAUGCACGAAAGCGUGGGGAGCAAACAGG
rnacentral:rRNA from 1 species